CCCAAGUUCACACAGCUAAUGAGGAGGGGAAAGGAUGCCAAGUGAGUCCGCCUGGCUCCUGGAGCUCCUUCUGCUUCUCCAUGAUUUCUGAAGAACACACGAGGCCUCCCUGUGUCCUGUGGGAGAAUUCACUGUCUCUACUACGUGGGAAAAUGUGAAAGAAGACACACUGAUUCUUCUGCCUGGAAUGCCUGUCACUUCCUUGUCUGCCUGGCAAGCACCUGUUCAUCUUCCAAAACUCAGCUCAGUACUUUGUCCUGUGUGAGCUCUUCCUAUACCUCCUCCCCACACAGGUUCACCACUCUGCCUCUGUGACCU
rnacentral:lncRNA from 1 species